rnacentral:lncRNA from 1 species
UAUCAUGUCAUUCUCAUUUGAACAGAGAAGCCUCCAGUGACCUGGAACAGCACAGCAAUGAGGCACUGUGUGCAGACCUAAUAGAAGGCAUCCAUUCUUGGAAGUGACAGCUGUAUUGGAAAGCUGAAGGCAGGUGAGGCUCUGUUGCCCCUCAGGAAAGCAGCAGCCCACCUUUCUGUCUUUGGGUUGCGUGCUGUACAGUUUUCCUGGUUGUUACAUCAAAGGAAGAUAUUUGAAUGCGGGCUAAGGAAAGGCAAAAGACUGGACCCCUGUUCAAGAUGCUCAAGUAUCAGAGAAGAUUACACUCUGUAUUGAGAAGAACUGAGUUGACCUGAAACUCCAUCUCAAAUCUCUGGCUGGC